rnacentral:rRNA from 1 species
AGGGUUUGAUCCUGGCUCAGAAUGAACGUUGGCGGCGUGGAUUAGGCAUGCAAGUCGCGCGAUAACUCAUGGGAUUGAAGCUUCGGUUGAUUUCCCGGAGGGACAGCGGCGAAAGGGAGAGUAACGCGUAGUUACCUACCCCAGGGCCUGGGAUAGCCGCGGGAAACUGCGGGUAAUACCGGAUGAUAUCUGCUUCCUUUCGAGGAGGCGGAUCAAAGGUGAGAUUCCGCCCUGGGAGGGGACUGCGUCCUACUAGCUUGUUGGUGGGGUAAUGGCCUACCAAGGCAUUGAUGGGUAGCGGGCGUGAGAGCGUGGCCCGCCUCACUGGGACUGAGACACUGCCCAGACACCUACGGGUGGCUGCAGUCGAGAAUCUUCGGCAAUGGACGAAAGUCUGACCGAGCGACGCCGCGUGCGGGAUGAAGGCCUUCGGGUUGUAAACCGCUGUCAGUUGGGAGGAAAUCUGGUGGGGUUCUCCCCUCCAGUUGACCUAUCUUCAGAGGAAGUCCGGGCUAAGUUCGUGCCAGCAGCCGCGGUAAGACGAACCGGACAAACGUUAUUCGGAAUCAUUGGGCUUAAAGGGUGCGUAGGCGGUGCGGUAAGUUGGGUGUGAAAUCCCUCGGCUCAACCGAGGAACUGCGCCCAAAACUACCGUGCUAGAGGGAGACAGAGGUGAGUGGAACUGAUGGUGGAGCGGUGAAAUGCGUUGAUAUCAUCAGGAACACCAGUGGCGAAAGCGGCUCACUGGGUCUCUUCUGACGCUGAGGCACGAAAGCUAGGGUAGCGAACGGGAUUAGAUACCCCGGUAGUCCUAGCUGUAAACGAUGAGCACUUGGUCGGGGAUCCCCCCAUAGGUUCCCGGUCGUAGCGAAAGUGAUAAGUGCUCCGCCUGGGAGUAUGGUCGCAAGGCUGAAACUCAAAGGAAUUGACGGGGGCUCACACAAGCGGUGGAGGAUGUGGCUUAAUUCGAGGCUACGCGAAGAACCUUAUCCUGGAUUUGACAUCAACGGAUGGCAUGCCUGAAAGGGAUGUGUCUGCCUUCGGGUGAAACGUUGACAGGUGCUGCAUGGCUGUCGUCAGCUCGUGUCGUGAGAUGUCGGGUUAAGUCCCUUAACGAGCGAAACCCUUGUCACUAGUUGCCAGCGCGUAAUGGCGGGGACUCUAGUGAGACUGCCGGUGUUAAACCGGAGGAAGGUGGGGAUGACGUCAAGUCCUCAUGGCCUUUAUGUCCAGGGCUGCACACGUCCUACAAUGCCGCGCACAGAGGGAAGCGAACUCGCGAGAGUAAGCAAAUCCCAGAAAACGCGGCCCAGUUCGGAUUGCAGGCUGCAACUCGCCUGCAUGAAGCCGGAAUCGCUAGUAAUCGUGGGUCAGCAUACCACGGUGAAUG